rnacentral:rRNA from 1 species
UGGGGAAUAUUGGACAAUGGGCGAAAGCCUGAUCCAGCCAUGCCGCGUGUGUGAAGAAGGUCUUCGGAUUGUAAAGCACUUUAAGUUGGGAGGAAGGGCAGUAAGCGAAUACCUUGCUGUUUUGACGUUACCGACAGUAUAAGCACCGGCUAACUCUGUGCCAGCAGCCGCGGUAAUACAGAGGGUGCAAGCGUUAAUCGGAAUUACUGGGCGUAAAGCGCGCGUAGGUGGUUCGUUAAGUUGAAUGUGAAAGCCCCGGGCUCAACCUGGGAACUGCAUCCAAAACUGGCGAGCUGGAGUAGGGCAGAGGGUGGUGGAAUUUCCUGUGUAGCGGUGAAAUGCGUAGGUAUAGGAAGGAACACCAGUGGCGAAGGCGACCACCUGGGCUCAUACUGACACUGAGGUGCGAAAGCGUGGGGAGCAAACAGG